rnacentral:rRNA from 1 species
AACGUAGGAGACGAACGUUAUCCGGAGUUACUGGGCGUAAAGGGCGUGCAGGCGGUCUGAUAAGUUCGGCGUGAAAUAUUCCGGCUUAACCGGGAUAGGUCGUCGGAGACUGUCGGACUAGAGGGUGAUAGAGGCGUGUGGAAUCCCGGGUGUAGUGGUGAAAUGCGUAGAGAUCCGGAGGAACACCAGUGGCGAAGGCGACACGCUGGGCCAUACCUGACGCUAAAGCGCGACAGCAUGGGGAGCAAACGGG